UACGUAGGGUGCGAGCGUUGUCCGGAAUUAUUGGGCGUAAAGAGCUCGUAGGCGGUUUGUCGCGUCUGCUGUGAAAACCCGAGGCUCAACCUCGGGCCUGCAGUGGGUACGGGCAGACUAGAGUGCGGUAGGGGAGAUUGGAAUUCCUGGUGUAGCGGUGGAAUGCGCAGAUAUCAGGAGGAACACCGAUGGCGAAGGCAGCUCGCUGGGACGGUACUGACGCUGAGGCGCGAAAGCGUGGGGAGCAAACAGG
rnacentral:rRNA from 1 species